GAUUUCUUUUACUUGAAUGGGAGUCAGAUAAGGAUUUUUCCGAUCUCUUGAAAUCUUACAUAUCGUGGGAGCCUAAGACUAAGGGUUCUGACAUUUAAAGAUGCCGGGGACCAGAAAGAAGGGUCUUUUAACUCUUUGGCACCUCAUGAUUAAACAGGGGAUACCAGACCGAACUUUACCGACCCCCUAUGUGGUCGCCUUACCAGUAC
rnacentral:misc_RNA from 1 species